CUCUCUGGUAGUGGGCCAGAGCCUCUUCCACGGCCCGCCCGUUGUGGAUCAGCGCCAGCGACUCCACAGCGUUGUCCAGACACGGCACCUUGCCACUGCGGAUCGCCUCCACGUUUUUGGCGUUUGCUGGCCGCUCCAACACGAAGCAGCGCCGCACCGCGAAGAAAUUCCUCAGGCCCUGCCGCACCUGGUUGUGCCGCCCUUGCUGUCCUGAUCAACACAAAUGAAAGCAAUAAAAUGCACAAUCUCUUCCAAAAUGGGGUCCGCUGACAGCUUUGGCCAGGCCCAGGGCAAAGUCAUUUGAAAGGGCCCCCCUUCCUGACAAAUACAAUGUAAUGAG